rnacentral:rRNA from 1 species
CANUGGGCGAAGCCUGAUGCAGCGACGCCGCGCUGAGCGAAGAAGUAUUUCNGUAUGUAAAGCUCUAUCAGCAGGGNAAGAUAAUGACGGUACCUGCACUAAGAAGCACCGGCUAAAUACGUGCCAGCAGCCGCGGUAAUACGGAGGAUCCGAGCGUUAUCCGGAUUUAUUGGGUUUAAAGGGAGCGUAGGUGGAUUGUUAAGUCAGUUGUGAAAGUUUGCGGCUCAACCGUAAAAUUGCAGUUGAUACUGGGUGUCUUGAGUACAGUAGAGGCAGGCGGAAUUCGUGGUGUAGCGGUGAAAUGCGUAGAGAUGGGGAGGAACACCAGUGGCGAAGGCGGCCUGCUGGGCUUUAACUGACGCUGAGGCACGAAAGCGUGGGUAGCAAACAGGAUUAGAUACCCUGGUAGUCCAAGGGCGAAUUC